rnacentral:lncRNA from 1 species
CAGCAUGUGGAGACAACGUACAGAAGAAACAAGCAGAGAAGAAUGCAGCUUGCACAAUCAUCCCAGCAGAAGGAGUCCGAGCUGAAGAACUAGAGAAGCUGCCACAUCUGCUUGGAGAACAAAUAAGGAACUGCAACAUAACCAAAGAGCAAAGCUUCGCCGUACAAUAUCAUCAAAUUAUCACUUGCAAGUAAACAGCUAAGUGUCACCCAGUUCAAGAGGAAAGCUGUGGAAAGUCAACAAGCACGACCAAUGAUCACUUAUUAGUUCUAUUCAUUGUCUUUUAUCGUGAUUUUAAAUUUUUCGUUUGCAAUUCUUUUUUUUUUAUAUAUUUUCUUGUGUUACUUAACUGAAUUAUUUCUUUUCUUUGCAGGAAAAUUUGGUUAUUUCCACCCUUGAAGUUGAUUGCAGAAUUUUAGCUUGGGGGUCAUCGCUUGAUUUUACUGCAAAUUAGGGAAGUUUUCAGUCCACUUGUUUUAUUUUGUUUCUUAUUAUUUAUUUUAUUUUUAUUUGCAUUAUAGUGUUUUCUGACAUUGGGGACAAUGUCCAGUUUAAGUUUGGGGGUAAAGAGUAUAAAAAAUGACCAAAUUGAAAUUUUUUGUACCUUCAACUACGAACGAGUUUCAUUUGUUUCCAUGUUGUUGCUUUUUGUUUUCAUAAAAAAAAAAUAAAUAAAUUUUUAAAUCGGAAAAUUUAAAAAAAUCCAAAAAUAUUGUCUUGUUUCCCUUAUUGUUUUGAAUUAGAUUUUUGUUAGUUU